rnacentral:lncRNA from 1 species
GUGAGAGGCAUGCAGUGGAUAAGACAGUUUUGCCAUCUUUUGUGGCAGCAGAGGCAUUUAGUGAACGAAGUUAUGUUUCGUCUGGAGGGAUAAAUCGGAAAUUUCGGGCUCGCCGUGCACCUCGGACGAACGUAACCAUAAGCGCAGGCAGAAGCCAUUCCGCCUGGCUGCUUCCAGUGACGCAAACGUCACGAAAGAAAUUCUUCCAAACUUGAAAGGACUAAAGGCGGAAUGUCUUGGGAACUAUGCUUGACGACGCUCAGCCCGACGAAUGCGAUGAGCACGGGAAGGACCCAGCCGGUGAUGAAGAGGAAAGGCGACCGCCAUAGGAUCAGCAACCGCUUCUGCACCAAGGCCCGGAAGCGCUGGCAGCAGUUCGGUUGCCUCGCAACUGCCACGACAGGAUCGGCCACUGCGCAGUCCGCACUGAUCAGCCGCUCACCGAUGAGGCUGAAGAUCGUGGCGACCACCUGGUCUGUGUACUCGUCUCCGGGUCCGUAGAUGACAGUGAGCCCACGCGGAAACCUUGGGCGUAGGUGCUCCGCGUUCAUUCGCCGCAGUUCGGAUACUACCAAGUAGGAGCGGUUGAGUUUCUUCACCUGUGCCUGAUCCACGCGGUCGCUGUAGAGCAUGUACAUGAGCGUGGCCACCACGAAGACCAGCUCGAUGGCCAGAGAAGCACAGUGGCGCCACAAGGUCUGCAGUAGGAGCCUUCUCCAGACGAAGAGGCACACUCUGGAGCACGAUACCAUGGUGACGCCGACUGGACCUUUGACGGGGCUGCGAAAAUUCCCGAAAAUAAGAUAUUGUGACACAU